GGGACGAAGCUUACGUGACGGUACCUGCAGAAGAAGCGCCGGCUAACUACGUGCCAGCAGCCGCGGUAAUACGUAGGGCGCAAGCGUUGUCCGGAAUUUUUGGGCGUAAAGAGCUCGUAAGCGGUUUGUCGCGUCUGUCGUGAAAGCCCACGGCUUAACCGUGGGUCUGCGGUGGAUACGGGCAGACUAGAGGCAGGUAGGGGAGAAUGGAAUUCCCGGUGUAGCGGUGAAAUGCGCAUAUAUCGGGAGGAACACCGGUGGCGAAGGCGGUUCUCUGGGCCUGUACUGACUCUGAGGAGCGAAAGCGUGGGGAGCGAACAGGAUUAGAUACCCUGGUAGUCCACGCCGUAAACGUUGGGCGCUAGGUGUGGGGUCCUUCCACGGAUUCCGCGCCGCAGCUAACGCAUUAAGCGCCCCGCCUGGGGAGUACGGCCGCAAGGCUAAAACUCAAAGGAAUUGACGGGGGCCCGCACCAGCGGCGGAGCACGUUGCUUAAUUUGACUCACCGCGAAGAAUCUUACCUAGGCUUGACAUUGCCCGGAAAACCAGAAAAGAUGUUGGGUCCUUU
rnacentral:rRNA from 1 species